ensembl:lncRNA
CUCCCAUUUUUCAUUCCUUCCUGUGAGAUAUUCCGAAUACUUUCCCUAAGUUUUUGCUUCUUUCAGGCAGCGAUCGUUGGCCCCAAAACCUAACCAAUCCAUCUCCAUUUGCCAAGAUUUGCAUGUGCACACAUGCUUAUUUUCAAUAGAAACAGUAGAGGAUACAUCACCAAGUUGGGUUUUGACCAACAUCCAGACUCAAACAGCGCUGGGAAGUCCCGUGACACAGCACAUCUGGAGUCCCAGAAAAGGUCCCAGGCUGCGCGUCCAUGGGUGAGACUUCAAAAAUUGCAGUUCUGGGGUUCUCACUUAUAAUCCCAGGAUGGAAACUGAUACCAUCAUCAAUCUGUCAGCAAAUUGAAGCCCUGGUUUCAUGUCACAGCAGUCAUGUUAGGGGAAGCACACUGAUUGAAACCGCCCACCCUGGCCAGGCACCAUAGUAACCAUUUGCGUGAGUUGUUUUAUGACAGGAGAUCCUGAUAAGGAAUACGGAACUAAUAAGCCACAACCAACCAGAAGAGUUCGGGAAAGGUUGAAAGGAGACACUGGUUGCCCGUCCACUUCCCAGAAUCCCUCUCGCUAGCAUCCAUCUUGGCUGAGCAAUGCGUGCACCACCAGGAAAGACUUUGAAUUAGAAUGAUUGGCCAAAGACCACCCGGAAACUAAUCCCAUCACCAUAAAACCCAAGACCGCGAGCCACGGGGCAGAGCAGUUCUCCUGGGUUCCCUUACCCUACUGCUCUCCACCCGGGGGCCCUUUCCCAAUAAACUCUCUUGCUUUGUCAGCACAUGUGUCUCCUCGGACAAUUCAUUUCCAAGUGUUAGACAAGAGCCCAGUUUCGGGCCCGGGAAGGGGUCCGCCUUCCUGCAACAGUCACAGUCAGGGCAGUGCCCAGGCAGGUUAGAAGCAAGGUCAGAGUCCUGCUCUGCUUUUUCUGAAGCUUAAAGAAGACUGUCCAUUUAAUUUCCUUAAGAAUUGACGCUUUUGAACUGUGGUGCUGGAGAAGACUCUUGAGAGUCCCUUGGGCAGCAAGGAGAUCAAACCAGUCAAUCCUAAAGGAAAUCAGCCCUGAAUAUUCAUCAGAAGGACUGAUGCUGAAGCUGAAGCUCCAAUACCUUGGCCACCUGAUGCGAAGAGCUGAUUCAUUGGCUUAGACCCUGAUGCUGGGAGAGGUUGAGGGUAAGAGAAGGGAGUGACAGAGGAUGAGAUGGUUGGAUGGCAUCACUGACUCAGUGGACAUGAGUUUGAGCAAACUCUGGGAGAUAGCGAAAGACAGAGAAGCCUGGUGUGCUACAGUUCAUGGGGUCCCAAAGAGUCAGACACGACUGAGCGGCUGAACAGCAACAUCACAACGCGGUGACUGAGAGGACUUGGCUGUCUCACCCUCAGAGGGAGGGGGUCCCUGGAAGGGGUGGAGGAGCUUCUAGGACACCAAACACAGUGCUUGUGC